UAGGGAAUCUUCCGCAAUGGGCGAAAGCCUGACGGAGCAACGCCGCGUGAGUGAUGAAGGUCUUCGGAUCGUAAAACUCUGUUAUUAGGGAAGAACAAAUGUGUAAGUAACUAUGCACGUCUUGACGGUACCUAAUCAGAAAGCCACGGCUAACUACGUGCCAGCAGCCGCGGUAAUACGUAGGUGGCAAGCGUUAUCCGGAAUUAUUGGGCGUAAAGCGCGCGUAGGCGGUUUUUUAAGUCUGAUGUGAAAGCCCACGGCUCAACCGUGGAGGGUCAUUGGAAACUGGAAAACUUGAGUGCAGAAGAGGAAAGUGGAAUUCCAUGUGUAGCGGUGAUAUGCGCAGAGAUAUGGAGGAACACCAGUGGCGAAGGCGACUUUCUGGUCUGUAACUGACGCUGAUGUGCGAAAGCGUGGAGAUCAAACAGG
rnacentral:rRNA from 1 species